rnacentral:rRNA from 1 species
GAUGAACGCUGGCGGCGUGCCUAAUACAUGCAAGUCGAGCGAACAGACGAGGAGCUUGCUCCUCUGACGUUAGCGGCGGACGGGUGAGUAACACGUGGAUAACCUACCUAUAAGACUGGGAUAACUUCGGGACACCGGAGCUAAUACCGGAUAAUAUAUUGAACCGCAUGGUUCAAUAGUGAAAGACGGUUUUGCUGUCACUUAUGGAUGGAUCCGCGCCGCAUUAGCUAGUUGGUAAGGUAACGGCUUACCAAGGCAACGAUGCGUAGCCGACCUGAGAGGGUGAUCGGCCACACUGGAACUGAGACACGGUCCAGACUCCUAGGGGAGGAAGCAGUAGGGAAUCUUCCGCAAUGGGGGAAAGCUUGACGGAGCAACGCCGCGUGAGUGAUGAAGGUCUUCGGAUCGUAAAACUCUGUUAUUAGGGAAGAACAAAUGUGUAAGUAACUAUGCACGUCCUGACGGUACCUAAUCAGAAAGCCACGGCUAACUACGUG